AUGGGCGCAAGCCUGAUGCAGCCAUGCCGCGUGUGUGAAGAAGGCCUUCGGGUUGUAAAGCACUUUCAGCAGUGAGGAAGGCGGGUACGUUAAUAGCGUAUUCGUUUGACGUUAGCUGCAGAAGAAGCACCGGCUAACUCCGUGCCAGCAGCCGCGGUAAUACGGAGGGUGCGAGCGUUAAUCGGAAUUACUGGGCGUAAAGCGCAUGCAGGUGGUUCGUUAAGUCAGAUGUGAAAGCCCGGGGCUCAACCUCGGAACUGCAUUUGAAACUGGCGGACUAGAGUACUGUAGAGGGGGGUAGAAUUUCAGGUGUAGCGGUGAAAUGCGUAGAGAUCUGAAGGAAUACCGGUGGCGAAGGCGGCCCCCUGGACAGAUACUGACACUCAGAUGCGAAAGCGUGGGGAGCAAACAGGAUUAGAUACCCUGGUAGUCCACGCCGUAAACGAUGUCUACUUGGAGGUUGUGGCCUUGAGCCGUGGCUUUCGGAGCUAACGCGUUAAGUAGACCGCCUGG
rnacentral:rRNA from 1 species